GUGGCGAACGGGUGCGUAACACGUGAGUAAUCUGCCGAGAAGUGGGGGAUAGCUCGCCGAAAGGCGAAUUAAUACCGCAUAUGACAAGGGAAGACAUCUUUCCAAAGUCAAAGUCGCAAGACGCUUCUUGAUGAACUCGCGGCCUAUCAGCUUGUUGGUGAGGUAACGGCUCACCAAGGCUAUGACGGGUAGCUGGUCUGAGAGGACGACCAGCCACACUGGAACUGAGACACGGUCCAGACACCUACGGGUGGCAGCAGUCGAGAAUUUUUCACAAUGGGGGAAACCCUGAUGGAGCGACGCCGCGUGGAGGACGAAGGCCUUCGGGUCGUAAACUCCUGUCAUGCGAGAACAAGAAAGUGAUAGUAUCGCAAGAGGAAGAGACGGCUAACUCUGUGCCAGCAGCCGCGGUAAUACAGAGGUCUCAAGCGUUGUUCGGAUUCAUUGGGCGUAAAGGGUGCGUAGGUGGCGUGGAAAGUUGAGUGUGAAAUCCUAGGGCUUAACCUUAGAACUGCACUCAAUACUCCCAUGCUAGAGGAAUGUAGAGGAGAGUGGAAUUCACGGUGUAGCAGUGAAAUGCGUAGAUAUCGUGAGGAAGACCAGUUGCGAAGGCGACUCUCUGGGCAUUUCCUGACACUGAGGCACGAAGGCCAGGGGAGCAAACGGGAUUAGAUACCCCGGUAGUCCUGGCAGUAAACGGUGCACGUUUGGUGUGGGCGGGCUCAGACCCCGUCCGUGCCGGAGCUAACGCGUUAAACGUGCCGCCUGGGAAGUACGGUCGCAAGAUUAAAACUCAAAGAAAUUGACGGGGGCCCGCACAAGCGGU
rnacentral:rRNA from 1 species